CAGUAGCCACGGUAAUACGAAGGGUGCAAGCGUUACUCGGAAUUACUGGGCGUAAAGCGUGCGUAGGUGGUGGUUUAAGUCCGUUGUGAAAGCCCUGGGCUCAACCUGGGAAUUGCAGUGGAUACUGGGUCACUAGAGUGUGGUAGAGGAUAGUGGAAUUUCCGGUGUAGCAGUGAAAUGCGUAGAGAUCGGAAGGAACAUCUGUGGCGAAGGCGACUAUCUGGACCAACACUGACACUGAGGCACGAAAGCGUGGGGAGCAAACAGGAUUAGAUACCCCGGUAGUCCCUGUCUCUUAUAC
rnacentral:rRNA from 1 species